GACGAACGCUGGCGGCGUGCCUAAUGCAUGCAAGUCGAACGCACUCGACCUUCGGGUCACAUGGGUGAGUGGCGAACGGGUGAGUAACACGUGAGAAACCUACCCCGAAGUUCGGAAUAACUCAGGGAAACUUGAGCUAAUACCGGAUGCCCUCCUUACAUCGAAUGAUGUGCUGAGGAAAGAUUUAUCGCUUCGGGACGGUCUCGCGGCCUAUCAGCUAGUUGGUGAGGUAACGGCUCACCAAGGCAUUGACGGGUAGCUAGUCUGAGAGGACGAAUAGCCACACUGGGACUGAGACACGGCCCAGACUCCUACGGGAGGCUG
rnacentral:rRNA from 1 species